GCCUUAGUUAGGUUGUGAAUAGCCCGACCCAUGGCUCGUACCCUUGUUGUAUUUAUUUUGAAGUCUAAUGGAAUGUGGAUUACUAUUGGGUAAUUAUUCCAAAUUACAACAUCUACUACGUUUGCAUACUUUGAAGCAACAUGAUCUGCUUCUAUAAAAGGUUAAAAUCCAUCUGACCCAUAUUGUCUUGUUUAUUUGUUGUAAAGUCGAUAAAGCAUAAGUACUUGUGUUUGUGUCUAUUGUACAUGUGAAUGCAAAUAUACAUGUACAUUCCAAUGUAUAGACACCUUUACACCGUCAUCCUUCUUGGAUUAUGCCACUAGCCAAAGCUAUUUCAGUUCCAAAUUACAACAUCUACUACAUUUACAUACUUUAAAACAACAUGAACUAUCUGCUUCUUCAAAAGGUUAAAACUCCAUCUGAUCGAUGUUGUCUUUGUUAUUUAUCAUAAUAGUCAAUAAAGCAUAAAUAAUUGUGGUUGUGUUUAUGUUAAUUUAUUGCACAUGUGGAUGCAAAUAUACAUGUACAUUCCAAUGUAUAGACACCUUUCCACCAUCAUCCUUCUUCUUGGUUCAUGCUAGCACUUGCCAAUGCUUUUUCAGUUUCACAGAUGUGCUUAUCAAAAAUUUCCAUAUUUAUUCAAUUAUAAUCCCUUUUGCUCUGUAUAAAUGUUGGUCUCUGGGCUGGAACAUCUUCAUUAAUUACUUUUAUCUUUGCUUUCCUCUUGCAGAUUUUUACUCUUUGUUCUCUCAUAGCUUUAUCUUAUCAUGAAAUGAAAGCCUUUACCAAAAGUUUCUUUUACUGCUUCAAUCUUACAUAAAAAUUACUGGGUUGCACAAUUUGAAAUUGUCCAUAUAAUGACUUUUAGCCUGCCUAGUUAUAUAGAAUGAACAAAAUUGAGCUUUUCAGUAUUAGCUUAACCUUAACUUCCCAUACACUGGCACUAAAAGUAUCCAGUAAUGUUUCUCGCAUAACAUCAGCUAAGAAGCAACUAAAAUGUAGUUAGGUUUGGUUGUAGCAUCAGAUUUUGCUCCUCUGAAUAAAAUUUAUCUUAGUUUGUAACAUAAUUCAUGGUCCUUUUUUACUUGUUUUCUCUAGUUCCAUAGUCCUAUUUUUGGAGUAAUUAUGCUUGCUGGAUGAAUGUCGUUUGUGCAUAGGGUAGGCUAGACAAUGGCCAUCGUAAUCAGGUAAAUGAAGCAUAUUAUAUAAUGCUCAAAGUGAUAAAUGUUUACCCAAAACUUGUAUGUCCCAUGGGCUUAUAUGUCUUUGAUUUAUCAAUUAUGUGAUCAUGUAGUACUAAUCAUAGUUCAAUUUAUGUUUGGCUAACCUCUUUUUCUAACAAUACCUGUGAUUUUUGACACUUUGGUUUGUUGGCCUGCUCAUUUGAAACUCAACACAGUAUCAUUGAAUGUAAUGUUGAAUCUGUGUAAAAAUGCUGAUAGUUAUAUAGAAUUUUGUGUGUAAGAGUGUAUUUACUUAUACUAGGUGUUUUGCCCACUUAAUUAACAUUUUGUCACCGAAUCACCAUUUACUGUUUAUAACCUUCAGGAAUUGGACUAGUUUUUCAAGGCAAUGAGUAUCAUGUCAAGACCUUGGAGUUUUAUAAAAGACUCUUGAGUUAUAUAUUCGAUUCUGUUGUGUCUAGCUCUUUCUUGUGGUAAAUAAAUUAUGAGGCGUUUCGGUUUAUAACAUUUAUACUCACAAAAAAAUGGGAAGCUAUUAAAAAUAACAAAAAUGUGUAUAUAUAUACCUUAGAUGUUUAAUUUGUAAUUAGAACAUAUAUAAGACUCUAGUCAACAGUAAAGAUCACUGAGUAGCAAUUUCACAAUAACACAAUAACAGAAACAAUUAAUGUAGAGACGAGAGCGAACAAUUAAUUUAGAGGUCAUUAAGAAACAUAGAUAUAUCAACGUAGAGAUCAUUGAAUGGCAAUUUCACAAUAACACAAACAGUUAAUGCAGAGAUGAGAUGUGAAGAGGCCUCCAUUUCAAAAACAAGUGUUGGGCUUUAUUAAGCCUAAAUGAGAAUAAGGUUUUAAGAUUAUAUAUAUAUAUAUAUAUAUAUAUANNUUUUUUUUAACAGCUAGACUUUAAUGAAAAACAACAAAAAGUUGGAAUUACAUGGUACAAUACAAUGGAUUUUCAACCCAAGAGUUCCAAAUCAAGUUCCUACUCUAUUUCGCUCUACUCUUAAUCCAUAAAAAGGCUAAAGCCUUGACAUCAUAGGCUAACGCUAACAGACUUUUGACCUUAAUAUUGGUGUUGAAGAUCACGUCGUUUCUAUAUUUCCAUAUAGUCCAUAAGAGUGUUCUUGAUAUCGCUUCUAAGGUGUCUAAAGACCUAUUUCCCACUUUUAGAGUAGAGUUUACCCCCAACAAGUAUUCUAAGGAGUUCAUUGAGGCAGGAAAAUCUUUCCACCAAGUCUGUAUAUGCCCUUGAAUCUCCGGUGUCUUGGAACAAUUCUUAAAUAUGUGUAUCUCGUUCUCUUCGAAAGCAUUGCAUAAAGGAUAGAAGGUGUUAGGAAUGUUUACUCCUCUCCAUGCAAGAUUUAAUCUUGUGGACAAUUUGCCAAGUCUCACCCGCCAUAUGAAGAUAUUUAUUUUCCCUGGAACCACCUUGGACCAAAUGGUUGGCAAGUUCGUACUCUCAAGUAGUUGAAUGUCAAUUUCCUUUCUCAGAGUAGAGACCGUAUACUCCCUUCCUCCAUUAAGACUCCAUCCCCAAUCAUUUGUGAUAAUAGUAUCCAUGUGCCAACAUUCCUAUAAAAAAGAUUAUUUAAUCUAACUUGUAUUGUUCUAAAUCGAUGUUGACUUUGCUAAUUCUUCUCUAAACUGUUUCCUAUUAGAGCAAGAAAUUGACACGCCCAGACAACCAUGAAUCCCAUAUAUAGUAGUGAUUAUGUUUUUCCAGAUCAAAUUCAUGUUGCCUCUAAACCUCCACCGUCAUUUCGAAAGAAGUGCAGGGUUGAAAGCUCUUAAGCUUCCAAUUCCCAAACCACCAAGAUCUUUGGAGUUUAUCGUUUUCCCCCAUGCAAUCCAAGUGAUACCCUUGUUACCUGAAGUAUUUCUCCAAAGGAACGCGUUACGGAUACUUUCAAGUUUUACAAUAACGUUUUUGGGAACUUUAUAAAUGGAGAAAAGGUAGGAACCAAGGCUACCAAGAACGGACCUAACAAACGUCAAUCGACCACCAAUGGAGAGAGUUCUAGUUUUCCAUAUUGAAAGUUUUUUGUUAAGUUUGUCCACAAGCGGGAUCCACGUGCUAACUUUACUCGGGUUUCCACCCAUCGGCAAGCCGAGGUAAGAGAACGGAAGGUCAACUACAAGACACUUGUACCACCUCGUCAUGAAGAGACCUCCCUAGAUGGGACACCAACACUCAAUAACUUGCUUUAUGUAAGUUGACUUUUAGGCCGGAUGCUAAAUGGAAACAGGCGAGGAUUCUUUUUAGGUUUUUAGCAUUAUUCCUAGACCAUUUUCCCAAGAAGAUCGCAUCAUCGGCAUACUGGAAAAGGGAUAUAGUAGGUCCAAAAUUAAACAUAGCAAUCCCCUCAAAAUACCAUUGUCAGUAGCCUCAUCUAAAACCACUUUCAUACCCUCAACAACGAUGAUGUAAAGACACGGGGAGAGAGGAUCUCCUUGUCUCACACCUUUUUCCAUGAAAACUCCUUGGUAAGGGAUCCAUUGACAAGAACCGAGACACUGGACGAGGAAAGAAUGAACCUUAUCCAAAAUGCAUUGUUCAAAAUCCCAUAAUAGUUAAGUGGCUAUUAAUAAUGAACAAUGAGAUAUACCAAAUCUUACGAUGAAACCUAAGAUAUUCAUAAAAUACAAUAACAAUUCUGUUAAAAUGAAUAUGAACGGCAUCAUGUUAUUUUUGUUUAUUUGUUUUUAUAUUUUAUUCCUUUUUAUUCAUUUUUGUACAUUAUAAUAAUAUAUAUUCGAGUUCGGAGUUCUUUGUAGACGUAUGUAUGUUUUGUUGGAGAGGAGGAAAUAAGAUUUUCUUGAAAUCAUGUAAAGUACUACCUCAUCACCUCUUAGGGCAUCUCCAAUCCACCCCCAAACUUCAUUUCUUUUCCUAUUUAUUCUCCAUUAUUUUCCAACCCUAUCCCAUUUUUACCUCCAUUUUUAGAGAUAUGAAUAGUAUUUCCCCAUAUAUGCGGGAAUACUAUUCAUAUUUUCAAAAAUAAAAAUGGAGUUUGGUUGCCAAUUUUAAUCCCUUUCAUUUUUAUUUUAUAUAUUUCUAGUUUAUUUUAUUUAUGAAAUAUAAUUUAAAUGCAAUAUUUAAUAUUUAUAAUAUCAUGUUAUAUACUAAUUUAUAUUAAUUAAUCAUAAAUAUAGAGUUUAAUUAGUAUAACGAUGUAUUUGACAAUAUAUAUAAGUUAUAAAAAUUGAAUAUUCUAAUAAUAUAUUUUUUUAAGU
rnacentral:lncRNA from 1 species